rnacentral:rRNA from 1 species
ACGUAGGGUGCAAGCGUUAUCCGGAAUUAUUGGGCGUAAAGAGCUCGUAGGCGGUUUGUCGCGUCUGCUGUGAAAAUCUGAGGCUCAACCUCGGACUUGCAGUGGGUACGGGCAGACUAGAGUGCGGUAGGGGAGAAGGGAAUUCCUGGUGUAGCGGUGGAAUGCGCAGAUAUCAGGAGGAACACCAAUGGCGAAGGCACUUCUCUGGGCCGCUACUGACGCUGAGGAGCGAAAGCGUGGGGAGCGAACAGGAUUAGAUACCCUGGUAGUCCACGCCGUAAACGUUGGGCGCUAGAUGUGGGUCACAUUCCACGUGAUCCGUGUCGCAGCUAACGCAUUAAGCGCCCCGCCUGGGGAGUACGGCCGCAAGGCUA